CCUACGGGUGGCAGCAGUAGGGAAUAUUGGGCAAUGGGCGCAAGCCUGACCCAGCCAUGCCGCGUGCAGGAAGAAGGCCUCUGGGUUGUAAACUGCUUUUGGGAGGGGACGUGUACCUCCAGAAUAAGCACCGGCUAACUCCGUGCCAGCAGCCGCGGUAAUACGGAGGGUGCAAGCGUUGUCCGGAUUUAUUGGGUUUAAAGGGUGCGUAGGCGGCCAAAUAAGUCGGGGGUGAAACCCACAGGCUUAACCUGUGGAGUGCCCUCGAUACUGUAUGGCUUGGGUUAUCUCUAGGCGGGCGGAAUGGAAGGUGUAGCGGUGAAAUGCAUAGAUAUCUACCAGAACGCCGAUAGCGAAGGCAGCUCGCUGGGGUAACCGACGCUGAGGCACGAUAGCGUGGGGAUCAAACAGGAUUAGAUACCCUAGUAGUC
rnacentral:rRNA from 1 species